rnacentral:rRNA from 1 species
GACGAACGCUGGCGGCAUGCCUAAUACAUGCAAGUAGAACGCUGAAGAGAGGAGCUUGCUCUUCUUGGAUGAGUUGCGAACGGGUGAGUAACGCGUAGGUAACCUGCCUUGUAGCGGGGGAUAACUAUUGGAAACGAUAGCUAAUACCGCAUAACAAUGGAUGACACAUGUCAUUUAUUUGAAAGGGGCAAUUGCUCCACUACAAGAUGGACCUGCGUUGUAUUAGCUAGUAGGUGAGGUAAUGGCUCACCUAGGCGACGAUACAUAGCCGACCUGAGAGGGUGAUCGGCCACACUGGGACUGAGACACGGCCCAGACUCCUACGGGAGGCAGCAGUAGGGAAUCUUCGGCAAUGGGGGCAACCCUGACCGAGCAACGCCGCGUGAGUGAAGAAGGUUUUCGGAUCGUAAAGCUCUGUUGUAAGUCAAGAACGGGUGUGAGAGUGGAAAGUUCACACUGUGACGGUAGCUUACCAGAAAGGGACGGCUAACUACGUGCCAGCAGCCGCGGUAAUACGUAGGUCCCGAGCGUUGUCCGGAUUUAUUGGGCGUAAAGCGAGCGCAGGCGGUUUGAUAAGUCUGAAGUUAAAGGCUGUGGCUCAACCAUAGUUCGCUUUGGAAACUGUCAAACUUGAGUGCAGAAGGGGAGAGUGGAAUUCCAUGUGUAGCGGUGAAAUGCGUAGAUAUAUGGAGGAACACCGGUGGCGAAAGCGGCUCUCUGGUCUGUAACUGACGCUGAGGCUCGAAAGCGUGGGGAGCGAACAGGAUUAGAUACCCUGGUAGUCCACGCCGUAAACGAUGAGUGCUAGGUGUUGGAUCCUUUCCGGGAUUCAGUGCCGCAGCUAACGCAUUAAGCACUCCGCCUGGGGAGUACGACCGCAAGGUUGAAACUCAAAGGAAUUGACGGGGGCCCGCACAAGCGGUGGAGCAUGUGGUUUAAUUCGAAGCAACGCGAAGAACCUUACCAGGUCUUGACAUCCCGAUGCUAUUUCUAGAGAUAGAAAGUUACUUCGGUACAUCGGUGACAGGUGGUGCAUGGUUGUCGUCAGCUCGUGUCGUGAGAUGUUGGGUUAAGUCCCGCAACGAGCGCAACCCCUAUUGUUAGUUGCCAUCAUUCAGUUGGGCACUCUAGCGAGACUGCCGGUAAUAAACCGGAGGAAGGUGGGGAUGACGUCAAAUCAUCAUGCCCCUUAUGACCUGGGCUACACACGUGCUACAAUGGUUGGUACAACGAGUUGCGAGUCGGUGACGGCGAGCUAAUCUCUUAAAGCCAAUCUCAGUUCGGAUUGUAGGCUGCAACUCGCCUACAUGAAGUCGGAAUCGCUAGUAAUCGCGGAUCAGCACGCCGCGGUGAAUACGUUCCCGGGCCU